rnacentral:rRNA from 1 species
AAGAGAUGGCGACCGGCGCACGGGUGAGUAACACGUAUCCAACCUGCCGAUAACUCCGGAAUAGCCUUUCGAAAGAAGGAUUAAUACCGGAUGGCAUACGAAUAUCGCAUGAUAUUUUUAUUAAAGAAUUUCGGUUAUCGAUGGGGAUGCGUUCCAUUAGUUUGUUGGCGGGGUAACGGCCCACCAAGACUACGAUGGAUAGGGGUUCUGAGAGGAAGGUCCCCCACAUUGGAACUGAGACACGGUCCAA